UUUAAGCAUCUACAAACCCUCCCUGGACGGCAGAACCUGAAAGCGGAAAAGAAACCGAAUGGAUUAUUGUUGGUGCAGUGUUGGGAUCAGCUUUGGCUUUGGUUGUUGCUGCUGGCAUCGUAGCUUGGUUUGUACAUAAGAGAAGAAAGGGUUCAAAAGGGAGCAGUGACGUGCAGAAAUUCCCUUUGGGUGUGCAGUGCAAGAUGCGAUGUAAACAAAAUGUUCUUAUCGAGAUCCCGGACGAGAGCCCGCGGCAGACGUCAUCACUCUACUGUACAGGGAUAAAAACAAGACAAAGGAAGUGCCAGGAGCCGGUAC